rnacentral:rRNA from 1 species
UACGUAGGGUGCAAGCGUUAUCCGGAAUUAUUGGGCGUAAAGAGCUCGUAGGCGGUUUGUCGCGUCUGCCGUGAAAGUCCGGGGCUCAACUCCGGAUCUGCGGUGGGUACGGGCAGACUAGAGUGCAGUAGGGGAGACUGGAAUUCCUGGUGUAGCGGUGAAAUGCGCAGAUAUCAGGAGGAACACCGAUGGCGAAGGCAGGUCUCUGGGCAUUAACUGACGCUGAGGAGCGAAAAGCAUGGGGGAGCGAACAGG